CCUACGGGUGGCAGCAGUGAGGAAUAUUGGUCAAUGGGCGCGAGCCUGAACCAGCCAAGUCGCGUGAGGGAUGAAGGUUCUAUGGAUCGUAAACCUCUUUUAUAAGGGAAUAAAGGGUGGGACGUGUCCUAUUUUGUAUUUACGUUAUGAAUAAGGAUCGGCUAACUCCGUGCCAGCAGCCGCGGUAAUACGGAGGAUCCGAGCGUUAUCCGGAUUGAUUGGGUUUAAAGGGUGCGUAGGCGGCUGUUUAAGUCAGCGGUGAAAGUCUGUGGCUCAACCAUAGAAUUGCCGUUGAUACUGGGGGGCUAGAGUAUGUUUGAGGCAGGCGGAAUGCGUGGUGUAGCGGUGAAAUGCGUAGAUAUGACGAAGAAUACCGAUGGCGAAGGCAGCCUGCCAAGCCAUGACUGACGCUGAUGCGCGAAAGCGUGGGGAGCAAACAGGAUUAGAUACCCUAGUAGUC
rnacentral:rRNA from 1 species